AAGUAUCGCUUAGUGAAUAGUAGCGUAACGGCAUUCCUUUUUCACUUACAGAAGAAACAACAUGGCGGCUGUUAAACUGGUUCUCUUUGUGUCUAUGGUGGCAGUGGUGCUAACGUUACCAACAGACAAGUCCAAGUCACGAUCCGUCCAGAAGGUAAGUCCUAGAUCUAGUUCUUCCAGACACCUGUAGACGAUCUCCUUAGUUCUAGGUAUAUAAGACACAUGUAGUCGAUCUCAUUUAGUUCUAAGUCUUCCAGAUACAUGUUGGCGAUCUCUUUUAGUUCUUGGUCUCCCAGACACCUGUAGACGAUCUAUUUAGUUCUAAGUCUCCCAGACACCUGUAGGUGAUAUCUUUAGUUCUAAGUCUUCCAGACACCUGUAGACGAUCUCUUUAGUUCUAGUUCUCCCAGACACCUGUAGACGAUCUCCUUAGUUCUAAGUCUCCCAGACACCUGUAGACAAUCUCCUUAUUUCUAGGUCUUUCAGACACGGGUGGACGAUCUCCUUAGUUUUAGAUCUUCCAGACACAUGUAGCGAUCUCCUUAGGUCUCCCAGAUCUCCUUAGCUCUAGGUAUUUCAGAGACAUGUAGACGAUCUCUAAGCCCGAGUUCUAAGUUUCUCAGACACCUGUCGAUGACGCCGAUUUGAAAACCCAGAAUAGAAAUUCAGUCCAAAGGGGAAGGGUGACGGUGGAUGAUAGCUCUUCUUAUUCAAAAGUGAGCGUCAGUUAUAGAAAAUGAAUGAAUAGAUAACUAGGAAUGGUAUAUGUACGACAGCCGACGUCCUGCGCAGUGUAUAAAGUAACUUCACAAUAUGUCAAAUUAACAAGCAGUCGAUGAGUAUUCAAAUUUUGUAAGAAAUUAUUAUCUGGGAUAUAAACAUUUAUCUCCUAUUUUUCUAUAUAGUCAAAAUCAAACAGUAGUAUUUAAGUUAUGUAUUUAGAAAUAUAUUUGUUCUCAUAGAUUAUAUUGAACCAAUUUUCUUUUCUUUAAUACGAUUGAAUACGCGGCUUAAUAGUAAUUUCGCAACAUUAUAAACAAUACAUUGAUAUACUAGUAGAGAAAUAAAUGUAGAACACUGCUUUAUUAAGGUUAACAAGGAAGUUAAAUACUUGUUAUACAUGAUACAAAUAUAUCGUAUCUAAUAAUAUUAAAUUAAAUGUACAUUUGUCAGAAUACAUCCUAUAUGCUAAGGUCAGGCUUUUCGAUAUAACCGGUAUAAUUCUAUGUCUUUGGUGAAAAUGCAUCAAUGAAAUAAAAUAACACUUGUAAUUAUCU
rnacentral:misc_RNA from 1 species